GUUUAAGCUGACAUUGUUGUGGCAUAGCUAUUCUCUCAAAUGAACAGGACAAGUCGACUAUGCUGGACAAAUUUUACAGUCAAUACCUCAUGCUCUUUGUGUUCAUUAGCAAUACUUGACAGGUACCUAUCGAACUGCACAUAAUGAGGAGGAGCAAUUCGACACCACAUAGUCCAGUUGACCAUACAUUGAGGGGGAGCAAUUCGACUGCACAUAAACAGGGAAGUCAACUGUUGUUUACUAUCUUGUAUAUUAAUUUUGGCAUCAUCAAAAAGGGAAAAAUUUUUAGAUCAUAUUUUAAUGAUGCAAUUAAUAUACACGUGCAGGCAUUCAAAAAAGGGGAAGUGAAAGUAUUGGAACUGAUGUAAAAAACAAGGAAAGAGCUAAAAAAGAUGUUGCCAUUGUGCUCAAACAAGAAAGAAAAAUUGCUGUAGCGAAAAAGGAAGGAAAUAUUCCUUAAAGGUGGCUGUUGACGCUCAAGGAAAAGAUCAGCUUCUCAUCAGCAAAUGUGGAAGUCUUCCGUAAUUGUGGGGAAAUCAUAUCUACCUUGAUACAACAAAAAAUUCAACGCAAAUCUCUGAUGAUGCAUAAUAACGGGAAGAUAUGGACGGAAAUCAAGACUGGAGGAUCUGUAAUCAAAAGCAAUCUGAGUUCAAUCAUAUCUCUAGCCAAAGGAGAAAAUCUGGUACGCGACCAAGUUUGGAAACAUCAACAAUCAAGGAGCAAUCAAGAAAAGCAGCGUCUGAGUCCUUAUUCUUGGAAUGAAUCAAUUCUUUCCAAGGAUCAAAUCUCUUGUGUUGUCAAGCCUCCAUCAUUCAUCAAAGUAUUUAUACAUCCUUGUAAACCCUAGCUUAGACAUACUUUGAUCAAACCAAAUAGCUCUCUUCAAUUUACUGCAAACAAGCAUAGUAGUCUAGAAAGAUUAACUGUGUAAUAAGUCAUAGAUAGAAAGCAGGUUCUCAAUUGAU
rnacentral:lncRNA from 1 species